ACGAAGGACGUGACAAGCUGCGAAAAGCUGCGGAGAGAUGCAAAUAAUCGUUGACCCGCAGAUAUCCGAAUGGAGCAAUCCGGCUGUGAUGAUGCACAGCCAUCCAUGCCCAAGAGCAUGAGAAGGGAACCGGGCGAACUGAAACAUCUAAGUAGCCCGAGGAAAAGAAAUCAAACGAGAUACCCCAAGUAGCGGCGAGCGAACAGGGAAGAAGCCCAAACCGGUGAAGGAAACUUUACCGGGGUUGAGGACCAUCAGACCCGCGAAGAACUUUAGCCGAAACUGUUGGGAAACAGUGCCGAAGACAGUGAAAGCCUGGUAGGCGAAAAAGAGAAACGCGGGGAUGGCACCAGAGUACCGCGGGACACGAGAAAUCCCGUGGGAAGCAGGGGGGACCACCCUCCAAGGCAAAACACAGAUAUCGACCGAUAGCGCAUAGUACCAUGAGGGAAAGGUGAAAAGCACCCCGGGAGGGGAAUGAAAGAGAACCUGAAACCGUAUGUUUACAAGCAGUCGGAGACCGCUUAAUAAUAAGGUCGACGGCGUGCCUAUUGAAGAAUGAACCGGCGAGUUACGAAGCCUGGCAAGGUUAAGCAGGAAAUGCGGAGCCGAAGCGAAAGCGAGUCUUAAGAGGGCGCAAGUCAGGAAGCGUAGACCCGAAACCACAGUGAUCUACCCAUGUCCAGGUUGAAACACAGGUAAAAAUGUGUGGAGGACCGAACCUAUAUCCGUUGAAAAGGGUUAGGAUGAGGUGUGGGUAGGGGUGAAAUUCCAAUCGAACGUGGAGAUAGCUGGUUCUCCCCGAAAUAGCUUUAGGGCUAGCCUCAGGGAAAAGAUUGCAGGCGGUAGAGCACUGAUCAGGAGAGGGACCUACCCGGUUACCAAACCCAGUCAAACUCCGAAUGGCUGCAAUCAUACCUGGGAGUCAGACUGCGACUAAUAAGGGCCGUAGUCAAAAGGGAAACAGCCCAGACCAUCAGCUAAGGUCCCCAAUGCCGUGCUAAGUGGCGAAGGAUGUGGCAUUUCAUAAACAACCAGGAUGUUGGCUCAGAAGCAGCCACCAUUUAAAGAGUGCGUAAUAGCUCACUGGUCGAGAGACGCUGCGCCGAAAAUGUCCGGGGCUCAAGCACGGAACCGAAGCUAUGGCAUGAUAGCAAUAUCAUGGGUAGGGGAGCGUUCUUAUAAGGAAGAAGCAUGACCGGAAGGACAUGUGGACGAAUAAGAAGUGAGAAUGCCGGUAUGAGUAUCGAAAAGAAAGGUGAGAAUCCUUUCCACCGAAAGCCCGAGGGUUCCUGAGCAACGAUCGUCGACUCAGGGUAAGUCGGGACCUAAGCCGAGGCGAGAAGCGUAGGCGAUGGACAACAGGUUGAAAUUCCUGUACCGGAUCAAGUCGAUCGAGCGAAGGAGCGACGCAGGAGGGCACAUGAUCGCGCGGCUGGAAGAGCGCGUCCAAGUGCGUAUGUUGCAGCAGAGGAAAACCCCUGUAGCUAAAAGCAGAGACAUGAUGGGGAGUUAAAGGAAACUUUGACGAACUCAUGAAUCCCACACUGCCAAGAAAAACUUCUAGCGAGACAAGAUCCGCCCGUACCGUAAACCGACACAGGUAGGCGGGGAGAGAAUCCUAAGGUGCGCGGGAAAACCCUCGUUAAGGAACUCGGCAAAUUGCAUCCGUAACCUAGGGAGAAGGAUGGCCCCCGGUCAGUGAAGAGCAGAAACGCUCAGAGCUAAAAGGGGCGGCAGAAAAGAGGCCCAAGCAACUGUUUACCAAAAACACAGGUGCCUGCGAAAGCGAAAGCUGAAGUAUAGGUGCUGACGCCUGCCCGGUGCCGGAAGGUUAAGGAGAGAAGUUAGCGAAAGCGAAGCAUCGAACUGAAGCCCCGGUGAACGGCGGCCGUAACUAUAACGGUCCUAAGGUAGCGAAAUUCCUUGUCGGGUAAGUUCCGACCCGCAUGAAAGGCGUAAUGAUUUGGGCACUGUCUCAACGAGGGGCCCGGUGAAAUUGAAAUACCUGUGAAGAUGCAGGUUACCCGCGACUGGACAGAAAGACCCCAUGGAGCUUCACUGCAGCUUGAGAUUGAAUCCCGGUGACAGAUGCACAGGAUAGGUGGGAGGCGCCGAAGCAUUGCCCUAGGGCGGUGCGGAGCCGAUGUUGGGAUACCACCCUUCUGUUGCUGAGAUUCUAACGCGAGGAGUAACGACCCUGCGGACCCUCUCAGGCAGGCGGUUUGACUGGGGCGGUCGCCUCCGAAAGAGUAA
rnacentral:rRNA from 1 species